AAUCCCUGGUGUAACGUCUGAAUAGCCGAUUUAAAUAUAAUCGACUAUAAAUAACACAAUGGGUAGAGAAAAGUGCGUCAUAGUACUGGCGCGCUGUACUAACUAAUGCAGCGUUGUCAUUAUUGUCGCUACAUUUUU
rnacentral:snoRNA from 1 species